AUUGAACGCUGGCGGCAGGCCUAACACAUGCAAGUCGAGCGAGCGGCGGAUGGGUGCGUAAUGUCUGGGAAACUGCCUGAUGGAGGGGGCUAACUACUGGAAACGGUAGCCAAUAUCGUGUACCAUCAGGUGUGCCCAGAUGGGAUUAGCGAGUAGGUGGGGUAAUGGAUAACCUAGGCGACGAUCCCUAGCUGGUCUGAGAGGUUGACCAGCCACACUGGGACUGAGACACGGUCCGGGCUCCGACGGGUGGCAGCAGUGGGGACUAUUGCAGAAUGAGCGCAAGCCUGAUGCAGCCAUGCCGCGUGUGUGAAGGCGGCCUUCGGGUUGUGAAGCACUUUCGGCGGGGAGGCGUUACCCGCAGAAGAAGCACCGGCUAAUGCCGUGCCAGCAGCCGCGGUAAUAC
rnacentral:rRNA from 1 species